rnacentral:rRNA from 1 species
GCUCCGCUUCAGGAUGGGCCCGCGUCCCAUUAGCUGGUUGGUGAGGUAAAGGCCCACCAAGGCAACGAUGGGUAUCCGGCCUGAGAGGGUGAACGGACACAUUGGGACUGAGAUACGGCCCAAACUCCUACGGGAGGCAGCAGCUAAGAAUCUUCCGCAAUGGACGAAAGUCUGACGGAGCGACGCCGUGUGAAUGAAGAAGGCCGAAAGGUUGUAAAAUUCUUUUGCAGAUGAAGAAUAAGAAGAAGAGGGAAUGCUUCUUUGAA